GGUUAAGCGACUAAGCGUACACGGUGGAUGCCCUGGCAGUCAGAGGCGAUGAAGGACGUGCUAAUCUGCGAUAAGCGUCGGUGAGGUGAUAUGAACCGUUAUAACCGGCGAUUUCCGAAUGGGGAAACCCAGUGUGUUUCGACACACUAUCAUUAACUGAAUCCAUAGGUUAAUGAGGCGAACCGGGGGAACUGAAACAUCUAAGUACCCCGAGGAAAAGAAAUCAACCGAGAUUCCCCCAGUAGCGGCGAGCGAACGGGGAGGAGCCCAGAGCCUGAAUCAGUGUGUGUGUUAGUGGAAGCGUCUGGAAAGGCGUGCGAUACAGGGUGACAGCCCCGUACACAAAAAUGCACAUAUUGUGAGCUCGAUGAGUAGGGCGGGACACGUGGUAUCCUGUCUGAAUAUGGGGGGACCAUCCUCCAAGGCUAAAUACUCCUGACUGACCGAUAGUGAACCAGUACCGUGAGGGAAAGGCGAAAAGAACCCCGGCGAGGGGAGUGAAAAAGAACCUGAAACCGUGUACGUACAAGCAGUGGGAGCCUCUUAAUGGGGUGACUGCGUACCUUUUGUAUAAUGGGUCAGCGACUUAUAUUCUGUAGCAAGGUUAACCGAAUAGGGGAGCCGAAGGGAAACCGAGUCUUAACUGGGCGUUAAGUUGCAGGGUAUAGACCCGAAACCCGGUGAUCUAGCCAUGGGCAGGUUGAAGGUUGGGUAACACUAACUGGAGGACCGAACCGACUAAUGUUGAAAAAUUAGCGGAUGACUUGUGGCUGGGGGUGAAAGGCCAAUCAAACCGGGAGAUAGCUGGUUCUCCCCGAAAGCUAUUUAGGUAGCGCCUCGUGAAUUCAUCUCCGGGGGUAGAGCACUGUUUCGGCAAGGGGGUCAUCCCGACUUACCAACC
rnacentral:rRNA from 1 species